rnacentral:rRNA from 1 species
AUGCAAAGUAAGCAUGUGAGUGUUAAUUAUCUAUCACUUACCCAAAUUCGGAGCUCUCCAGGAGCGUUCGCAGAUCUGCCCUGCAGUGUGUCCGAUGCUGCCGCUUUCUACAGGGCCGAGGAGGGGAGCUCGACGGAGAAGGUCUUCUGGUCUCAGUAUGCUGAGGCCGGACAUCUGGUGCCCCUUAGAGACCAGUUGAAGCAGCUGGUCGAGCUCCACAAGGUGGCUGAACAGGCCAUGAAGGGCCUCAUAGUUCGGUUGUGGCCUAAGGAGGCCAUGCCUGGGAGCUACUUCGGCCUGGUGCGGCGGCUGGUGGAUGCGUGUCCAUGGGUUGAAGUCAUCAAGCACUUCGCCUGUAUUGAAGGUGCCCGUCGGGCCCUUGCCCGUGCAAAGGUGCACUGGGGCAAGAUGGAUGCUCAGAAGCUUGUGACGGACGCGCCACCGCAGGGCAAGGAGCAUCGCACGCCCGAGAUGUAUUAUAAGAGUGUCCUAAAGGGUGCCCACAUUAUUGCGUGUGAGUGCUCCAAAGAUGUAAUAUUUGAGUAG